CCUACGGGAGGCAGCAGUGGGGAAUCUUAGACAAUGGGCGCAAGCCUGAUCUAGCCAUGCCGCGUGAGUGAUGAAGGCCUUAGGGUCGUAAAGCUCUUUCGCCUGUGAUGAUAAUGACAGUAGCAGGUAAAGAAACCCCGGCUAACUCCGUGCCAGCAGCCGCGGUAAUACGGAGGGGGUUAGCGUUGUUCGGAAUUACUGGGCGUAAAGCGCACGUAGGCGGAUCAGAAAGUUAGGGGUGAAAUCCCGGGGCUCAACCUCGGAACUGCCUCUAAAACUCCUGGUCUAGAGUUCGAGAGAGGUGAGUGGAAUUCCAAGUGUAGAGGUGAAAUUCGUAGAUAUUUGGAGGAACACCAGUGGCGAAGGCGGCUCACUGGCUCGAUACUGACGCUGAGGUGCGAAAGUGUGGGGAGCAAACAGGAUUAGAUACCCUGGUAGUCCACACCGUAAACGAUGAAUGCCAGUCGUCGGGCAGUAUACUGUUCGGUGACACACCUAACGGAUUAAGCAUUCCGCCUGGGGAGUACGGUCGCAAGAUUAAAACUCAAAGGAAUUGACGG
rnacentral:rRNA from 1 species